AGUGAACGCUGGCGGUAGGCCUAACACAUGCAAGUCGAACGGCAGCACAGUAAGAGCUUGCUCUUACGGGUGGCGAGUGGCGGACGGGUGAGGAAUACAUCGGAAUCUACUUUUUCGUGGGGGAUAACGUAGGGAAACUUACGCUAAUACCGCAUACGACCUACGGGUGAAAGCAGGGGAUCUUCGGACCUUGCGCGAUUGAAUGAGCCGAUGUCGGAUUAGCUAGUUGGCGGGGUAAAGGCCCACCAAGGCGACGAUCCGUAGCUGGUCUGAGAGGAUGGACAGCCCAACUGGGACUGGAGCACGGGCCAGGAUCCUUCGGGGAGGAACAGUGGGGAAAAUUUGACAAUGGGGGGAAAGCUUGACCAGGCAAACCGCGUGGGUUGAGGAAGCCUUCGGGUUGUAAAACCCUUUUUUUGGGAAAAAAAAACAACAAGCUUAUGCCCCGGUGGUCUGGCGGGACCCAAAGGAUAAGCACCGGCUAACUUCGUG
rnacentral:rRNA from 1 species